AGAGUUUGAUCCUGGCUCAGAAUCAACGCUGGCGGCGUGCCUAACACAUGCAAGUCGAACGAGAAAGUGGAGCAAUCCAUGAGUAAAGUGGCGACCGGGUGAGUAACACGUGACCAACCUGCCUUCCAGUGGGGAAUAACGCCGGGAAACCGGGGCUAAUACCGCAUAACAUCUUCGAGACGCCGGUCUUGGGGAUCAAA
rnacentral:rRNA from 1 species